rnacentral:tRNA from 2 species
CGAGGUGGUCGCUUGCCGGCAGGCGCUCAGCUUCUGGCGUUGCCGUCGAGUGAUCGACGCCGAGGCCGGCCAGAUCGCACCCGACCACCUCGAC